GGCCUGGGCUGGGGAAGGUGGGUCUCAGUACUUGGCCUGCUGAGUCUUCACCCCUAGAUGAGCUCUAAAUGAGAACAACCCUAUUACCACCUUCCUUAGGCUGGCUGCAGUGUGAGUGCAGAAACAGGACACCCUGAGGGAUGUGUGACCUAACAGUGGGAUUAGUCUGGGCAGCCUGCUGGUCUGUGGCUCAGUCCUCAGCUUUGGCAAAUCUAGUCAGAGGCACCCCAGUCCCAGCCUCCUCCAUCUCCAGAGCCACACAGGUCUGGAUCCUCGUUGCCAUGGCAAUAGUUUUGGGAACCUAGGAAGACCCAGCUUCUUCUCUCCUCCUGCCAGGCAGGCGUGGAGCAGACAACAGGACCAUGGGGUCAGGGAAGCAGCUGGCACCUCCCCCAGGAGGGGAGUAUCAGGCUGGGGACACAGUUGGUUUGGUCAGCCUAGGCCAGGCAGGACACUAGAGUAUCAAUGAGGCCUCGGGUACAAUGUCCCUGGAACUGAGCCUGAAGUCCCCCACCUAAACAAUGGCAGAACAGGGUGAAGAAUCAUGACCCUCCUAGCUGUGAAAUCACAGCUAAGAGCUGGUGAUGAGAAUUUGAAAGUCACCAGACCUCUUUAUUCCAGGACACCUCUUUCUCACCUUUGACCUUAGUCCAAAGGGCAGUGAGCCCAGAGCUUACCUGGCUCUAUCCUGACCUCAACCCAACUUCUUCUCCAGCUCCAUCUUGACCCCCAACUCCACUCCUACCCCAGUCAACACCCCCAUGUGCCCAGACAACUUGGCAUAGAACAGACCUGCCAUUUAGCAGGCAGCCAGCCUGCCCUCUGGCCCCUCACAAACAAUAGGGACUCCAGGAAUAUUGUCUACCCGGACUGAAUCAAACACUCUAAAUUUAGUCUGUCUGAUGCACCCUCUGCUUCCUGCCCCUGUUGCCCUCCUUUCAAGGGGAUGAGGUCACCCCGGAACUGCAUGCCUUGGCAGCCAGACCCAGGGGGUUUCCAGGUCCAGGGCAUUCUCCUGCUCUUGGGAAAUGGACCAUGGGGAUCAGAGGUCCUGAGUCCUUCCUCCUGCCCCACCCCACUGUGUUCCAGGAUCUUCUCCAAAGUGUUUUAGGGAUAACCCAUGCUUGCAGAAGCGAGAGAGUGGAAGCAAAACCAAUGGCCAGGCAGGCUUUGUCCCUGCCCUGGAGGUGACAGCCUGAGGGAAGGACAGUCAGCAAAUAAACAAGGAGUGAGCAGGGCUAUCUCAGCAGUGUCAGGGUAGCAUAAAGGACACAAAUCAGAAAUCUGAUCAACAGACACAGAGUGGGUGGAGACCUUGGCUUAAGAAAGAGGUCAGAGCAGGCUUCUGUGAGAGUGACAUUUGAGCUGAGACUUGAAUGACCAGGAGGCUGCAGUCCUAGGUUGGGCCACUCCCUGAAGGCCAGAGGAGGCUGUUCCUAGGACUUCUGGACUCACCAUGCAAUGAACUCACCCUGUCCUACACUGUCCUUCCU
rnacentral:lncRNA from 1 species